rnacentral:rRNA from 1 species
AGCUGAGUUUGAUCCUGGCUCAGAUUGAACGCUGGCGGCAUGCCUUACACAUGCAAGUCGAACGGUAACGCGGGGCAACCUGGCGACGAGUGGCGAACGGGUGAGUAACGCAUCGGAACGUGCCCAGUAGUGGGGGAUAGCCCGGCGAAAGCCGGAUUAAUACCGCAUACGACCUACGGGGUGAAAGGGGGGAUCGCAAGACCUCUCGCUAUUGGAGCGGCCGAUGUCGGAUUAGCUAGUUGGUGGGGUAACGGCCCACCAAGGCGACGAUCAGUAGCCGACCUGAGAGGGUGAUCGGCCACAUUGGGACUGAGACACGGCCCAAACUCCGUACGGGAGGCAGCAGUGGGGAAUAUGGACAAUGGGGGAAACCCUGA